CAUUAAGAAGCUAUGUAUAAGCGCUAGCCUUUUAAGCUAAAGAUAGGGGACCCAACACCCCCUUAAUGA
rnacentral:tRNA from 1 species